rnacentral:rRNA from 1 species
CCUACGGGUGGCAGCAGUAGGGAAUUUUCGGCAAUGGGCGCAAGCCUGACCGAGCAAUGCCGCGUGAACGAGGAAGGUCUUCGGAUCGUAAAGCUCUGUUGAAGGGGAAAAAGAGCGGCUAGAGGAACUGGUCUCCGCUUGAUAUUAUCUUUCCAGGAAGCCACGGCUAACUACGUGCCAGCAGCCGCGGUAAUACGUAGGUGGCGAGCGUUAUCCGGAAUGAUUGGGCGUAAAGGGUGCGUAGGCGGCCUGGUAAGUCUGGGGUGAAAGGUACCGGCUCAACCGGUACAGGCUCUGGAAACUGGCGGGCUUGAGAGCAGGAGAGGGCGGUGGAACUCCAGGUGUAGCGGUAAAAUGCGUAGAUAUAUGGAGGAACACCAGUGGCGAAGGCGACCGCCUGGUCUGUUACUGACGCUGAGGCACGAAAGCGUGGGGAGCAAAUAGGAUUAGAUACCCUUGUAGUC